GACGAACGCUGGCGGCGUGCUUAACACAUGCAAGUCGAACGCUGAAGCCCAGCUUGCUGGGUGGAUGAGUGGCGAACGGGUGAGUAACACGUGGGUAAUCUGCCCCGUACUCUGGGAUAAGCCCGGGAAACUGGGUCUAAUACCGGAUAGGACACGCUAUCGCAUGGUGGUGUGUGGAAAGCUCCGGCGGUACGGGAUGAGCCCGCGGCCUAUCAGCUUGUUGGUGGGGUGAUGGCCUACCAAGGCGACGACGGGUAGCCGGCCUGAGAGGGUGACCGGCCACACUGGGACUGAGACACGGCCCAGACUCCUACGGGAGGCAGCAGUGGGGAAUAUUGCACAAUGGGCGCAAGCCUGAUGCAGCGACGCCGCGUGGGGGAUGACGGCCUUCGGGUUGUAAACCCCUUUCGCCCGGGACGAAGCGUAAGUGACGGUACCGGGAGAAGAAGCACCGGCCAACUAC
rnacentral:rRNA from 1 species